UUUGUCAUGUUUUCUUCUUUUCUUCUUGUGAUAUCGAACGAAAUUCUUGGUUUUGCUGACUGUGCGAUUGUUUCCUUCACGAUUUUAAGCCCCUAAUAUGUCGCGGGAAGUCAAGAUUUUUUCCGGACCACGAUAUCCAUAUUUUACGGCACAUGGCACUUCCUGUUGCCUGCUCAUUUCAAAUGUACUUUACCACGUCGGCAAAGGGAACUUAAAUCUAUCAUACAUAUAUCCUGGAACUUGAUUCAUCUGCAGGGAGAAAGCCAUGUUCAAAGGUUGUACCAUUUGUUGCUCACCAUGUGAUCUGUUGCAUCCGAGUCCAGCAUCAAUGAACUAAACAGGUCCACUCCAUCUCUCUGGAUGUAUAAAAGUGUUCUAUCUCCUGAGGUUAUCACCGUGACUUUCUUCUUACCUUUCACAUCUCCGAAGAAUGAGAAGAUCAAGGAUCUUUGAACAUCAGAUCCCUCAAAUCCACUUGCAACCUUAUUGACCAAUUGGAAAAGUAUCCUGUCAGAAUGCAGUCGACAGCAAACUUGCUGAUAGUGAUGCGCUACAGGAACACUUAAGGAUUCAGCAUGCAGACAUGAGCUACAGCAAUCUAUUGGCUUGUUUUAGAAAAACAACGAAAUGACAAUCAAAGAUGAACUGUAGCUGGAUUAAAAAGGUUUGCAACGAUAACCGCAGAAAACACGAGGCCUCCUUUAGAAAGUGCAUAGUAUUUAACUGCUGUGAACUCAUCACUUCCUCACUGUAAGCCUUGUGAUUAUUUAGAAACUUUUCUAAACUUAAAAAUAACCAAUUUUCAUGAAUGUCAUCGAUGAUGGCACAGCCAUGUCAACUUAGGUCUUUAAUUUGGCCUAAAGUAAUUGUCCCUCAGCGCCAAAAAGCUUUUCCUUAAUUCAACUUCCUCACCUACUGCGCACCUCUUUUUGUCUCUUGAACAUUUUCAUGUAUCAGAGUUGGUGUGUUUUCAUUCUCACGGUUUCAAUUGUGAAUGCAUUUAAGGUUCCAAUACACUUUUAAAUGGAGCCCUCCUCUUUCCUAAUGUAAACUCCAGUUUUCUGUCUCACAUUUUUACAAGUAACAACCUGCCUGAGUCACCUUAAAUGUAUUUCAAAAUGUUACUCACAAACGGCAAGAAAAAAGUAUGAGGCAACUAUAAUUUUUUUAUGGGCAUUACCGCAAAAAAGGUGUGAUUUCAUUUCAGAAAACUUGAAAAUUAAAAGUUGAACAAAGUGGCCCAAGUUUUGUUUUUUUUGUUACUUCAUACUGUGUAUUUUCAAAAUAGCAUAACGGUCCCAAACUUUUUUACACCUUAGACUUGAAUUCUGUAAAAUUCAUGUGAUAAGAUUUAAAAAAGCUCAAGACUGUCGCAAGCUCUUCCAACUGAUUCUGUUUUCAAAUACUCAUGAUUAGGGGCACUGUAUGCACAUAUUUUUUCGGCUCAAGAUCUCAACUAACAAAAAAAAAACCAAAAUAACAUGUGCAGUACCAACCAAUUACCAUAAAACUAUGCUAUGUUGCCAAAUUUACCAAAAAACUGCAACUUGCAUCUUCAUUUUUUUCAAAUUUUAUAAUACUCCAGCAAGUAUUUCAAAUAAAAAAAAUAACGAACGUGGAGAAAUGUAAGCACUACCUAUACCUACUUACUAGGCUCGGUGAGGUACUUUAUACCUAGGAAUGAGAAAGUAAAAAUAGGAAAAAGAGGAGCAAAGCAUUUACAGCCCAUCAAAUACUACAAUAAAUACUUAAGUUAUGCGCCUUUUUCGUAACAAUAUUAAGAGUAAUAAUGAGAAACUAACGGUUUACGAAUAUUAAUAUUUUGAGGUAGAGGAACUUAAAGUGGAGAAUAUUAGGAUACUAUUCGUCAAAAACUGCAAAAAAAUAGAAACUUUUGACGAAACUAAAAAAUUUAAAUUUAUAGAAAAUUCAAGAAAGAACCCAAACUUAACAGGACUAACAGUUUUGACGUUCAAACUUUGGCAACAGCUUUCAGUCUACUGAGCACGUUAGGCAAGUUUCAAAUUACCAAUCAGAACAUCAGUAUUUUAACAAAAACAGGAUGAUAUGUAAGGUAACUCACAUUUUCAAAAGAAAACAGCCGCAAAGAACAUUUUUUUGGAGGGCUUAAAAUACUUAAAAUACCAUUAAAUUUAAUUUUCUGUAAAUCUUCCACUGAUGGCCAAAGAAAAAAUUGACGUGAGGGAGACAUGAAUGAUAUUUCUGCUGACUGUUCAGUCAAAUCUUUUUAGAGCUUUCAACAACUUGCAUCUGUGUUGAAGUUGCCUUAGUCGUUUUGAUUGCAUCUGCUCUUGAUAAUUCUCUUUUGCGACAAGUAUAAUUCUGUUGCUUGAAUUAAAGUUGAAUGUGACACGUUUCUCUUGGUUGUGAUUACACUCGAGUUGACCCAGGCAUUCAUUACAGGAUAGAUGCCUUAUUGCUAAACCAUUCCAAUUGAGCGAAUUUAAAACGAUUUGGUGUAAAUACAUCAUACCGGGAAUAGGUUUUAAAUUUUGGUCUAAGAGAAUUUUAUCGACUUCUGUGAUAGCUGACUUCUCGAUAGCAAUAACGUCGAUCUUGACACGCUGUAAAGAGUAAUUUGCAUGCAAAGUGGUUGAGAAACAGGCAUCCACCACAAGCUUAAAGUUUUGGAGAACCUCUACAAAUGGUAAGCAUGCAAGCAAGUCUUGCCUUAAUAAAUCUACCUUUUUCAAUAAAAUACGACUAGAGUUCCCAUUGAAUUCAGGCAACUUGAAUAAAUAAAGUUUUGAUUUAUCUACUUCAAUUGAUUCGAAAGCUUGACUCCUCUCUUUCGCCAAUCAGGCCUAUGUGCAAUUUGUUUGUUUUUUACAUGGCCCUUUACCGUUCACCUGAAUAUUCGUCAAUAUAGAUGUUAACUGCUUAUAAGACUGUAGGUGUUGCCUGCAGGGAUUCUCAUAGCCAGCUAUGAGGAAUCAUACAGCUAGCUGUAAGCAAAAUUACUGUUCGUCUACUUGGAUAUUUUUUUAUGAGUUUCAUACAGCUCUACAUCUUCAUUUCACAAGUUAUUUCUGCAUAAAAGAACUUGAAUGAUAGGUCAGAAUUUUAUUCGGUUAAUAUAAUAAAAAUAGUUUUGUUACCUCAAUUGAAAGUUUAAUGCUUACGUCUUCUAAGAAGAUUAACCGAAACAGUCAUCCACGGCACUCGGACCGCAGGCAGUCGUGACCGGUCACGAGAAACGCGAAUGAAGUUAAUUAAAUAGAGAGACGAUUUUUUUACUUUUGUCACUCCCUUUCUUUUAUCCCCAAUCAACCUCUCCUCACUUCUACUCCUUGGUGGCAACCUUACCUUAGGUGUCCCCGAGCCUACUCCCACCUCGCUUCUCACACUACCAGACCUCAGUUUUUUUCCCUCACUUACAAUCGCCGGACUAUCCCCCAUUUUUUUCUUUCCCCCAUCCCCCGCUGGGCUAUCCACCUUACUCUUCCCUAGAUCCCCUAUCUUUUUCCUGAUAGCACUCGCCAUACUAAAUUGAUUCACUCUAACCUCUACCACACUAUCGUUCGUUUGUCCAGCCACACGCUUCACACACACAACACUCACUAGUUACACUCUAAGAUCACUUACCCUACAAGAUCACUAGACAACCAUCACAAAAAACCGAAACAAAAAACAAGAA